rnacentral:rRNA from 1 species
AGCCUUGCUCCUUUGACGUUAGCGGCGGACGGGUGAGUAACACGUGGGUAACCUACCUAUAAGACUGGGAUAACUUCGGGAAACCGGAGCUAAUACCGGAUAACAUUUGGAACCGCAUGGUUCUAAAGUGAAAGAUGGUUUUGCUAUCACUUAUAGAUGGACCCGCGCCGUAUUAGCUAGUUGGUAAGGUAACGGCUUACCAAGGCGACGAUACGUAGCCGACCUGAGAGGGUGAUCGGCCACACUGGAACUGAGACACGGUCCAGACUCCUACGGGAGGCAGCAGUAGGGAAUCUUCCGCAAUGGGCGAAAGCCUGACGGAGCAACGCCGCGUGAGUGAUGAAGGGUUUCGGCUCGUAAAACUCUGUUAUUAGGGAAGAACAAACGUGUAAGUAACUGUGCAUGUCUUGACGGUACCUAAUCAGAAAGCCACGGCUAACUACGUGCCAGCAGCCGCGGUAAUACGUAGGUGGCAAGCGUUAUCCGGAAUUAUUGGGCGUAAAGCGCGCGUAGGCGGUUUCUUAAGUCUGAUGUGAAAGCCCACGGCUCAACCGUGGAGGGUCAUUGGAAACUGGGAAACUUGAGUGCAGAAGAGGAAAGUGGAAUUCCAU